rnacentral:rRNA from 1 species
UACGUAGGGGGCAAGCGUUGUCCGGAAUCAUUGGGCGUAAAGCGCGUGUAGGCGGCCCGGUAAGUCCGCUGUGAAAGUCCAGGGCUCAACCCUGGAAUGCCGGUGGAUACUGUCGGGCUCGAGUCCGGAAGAGGCGAGUGGAAUUCCUGGUGUAGCGGUGAAAUGCGCAGAUAUCAGGAAGAACACCCGUGGCGAAAGCGGCUCUCUGGAACGGUACUGACGCUGAGGCGCGAAAGCCAGGGGAGCAAACGGG